rnacentral:lncRNA from 1 species
AUGUCUUCUAUUUUCUCAAAUUUUCUAAUUUUUUCUAGUUUCUUCUAUUCUCCAAUUUCUUCUCUUUAUUUUUCUAUUUUCUAUUUUCUUUUUUUUUUCAUUUUUUCUAUGCUUUUCCAAUUUUCUUUUUUCCAAUUUCUAUUUUUUUCAAUUUUGUUUUUUAUUCAUUCAUUUUACUCAGGUUUUUGCUUUUGCUGCGUCACCGGGCUGGGCCGCUGCCAAAAAGGCGCCGUUUCUCCUCUAAAAGGCCACAAAUCUUGGAUGGAAAAAAGGUUUUUGAAGGAACACAGACCCCAAAGCCCAAAUUUUCACCAGUUUUUGUUCCCCAAAAAGCCCAAACAACCCUUUUUUAACCCUUUUUUCCACCAUGAUACAGCACAGACCUAACCACCAUUUUAAUUUCCUUUUUUACGACAGAAAUGCUUCAAAAUCUUUGUGUUUCGCCCAAUUUCAGGCCAUGCUGAGUCACGGAAGUCUCUAUUUUCAAUAUGGGGGAUAAACCCCCCCUAUUUUGAUGCAUUUUAAGGCAUUUUUAGGCAGUUUAAAGCACUUUUUUUGGCAUUUUGAGGAGUUUCCGGGCAGGAAAUGACACCCCAAAAAAUGCUGGAAGGGAGGGGACAACCCCCCUCCCCAACCUUUUAAUUAUCAUUCAUUAAAGCUGCUCUGGAGCUAAUUAAAGCUGCUGACGAAAACAAUGAGGCAUUUUGGGGGUGUGGGAGGAGCUGUUCCGACAUAUUUUGGGGCGUUUCCUGCGGGAGAAAAUCUUUCCUUAUUGUUAUUAAUGAUUUUCUGGGCUAUUCCACCAUUAAGGCUCUCUAAUGUAAUUCUUCCCCCCAUUUGAGGUGCUGGAAAAGGCCUUCCACAAAAAUACCCUGAUUUUAUGGAAGGUUUAGCUCAAUUAUCAUUUUUACAGCAAUAAUUCGCCUAUGUGCAGCUGGUUUAAGCCCUAAUUUAAAAUUUAAAAUCAUUUUAGCAACUCUGACAUGGCCAAAGUUCAUGUUUUCUGCAUCAAAAUACCCCAAAAGCUGCUUUUUCCUCAGGAGCUGAGCCUGGAGAGGUCAUUUUAAAACAUUUUUCCUCUACAAAGAUGCUCUUCACCAAAUCUUUAGUGUUUCUUAGGGAAGAAAAUAGGAUAAAAAUCCGGUUAAGAUUUUUUUAAAAGCUGGGAUAGCACUAGAGCUUCUUAAGAGCCUCAACACCACUUUAAGGUGAUAUUAAGCCAUUUUUGGAGUACAGGACACAGGUUGUGCCCUCAAAAAUCACCACUAAACCAAACCCUGCAGCUUUUCAGCUUUUAAAUCCAAAUGGCCGCUUUUAAACCCAAAAUGGGAGGCUGCCCCUCCAGUCUCCCUAGCCCCCUUUCUUAGUGGGUUUUGGAGACAAAACC